rnacentral:lncRNA from 1 species
UUAACAAAAACUUGUAGUGUUACAAUGAGAGAUGAGAAAAUCAACCAAAAUAGUAAAAUACAUAAAUAAACAGUAUCACGUUAUACUGGAAUAAACUUGAUGCAUGAUAUUACUAAAUAAAAAAGAUUGAUAGAUUCUAUGCCGUUUAUUAAACAAAACAAGUAUCAUUCAAUAAAAAAUUAAAGUAAUAAAGAACAAUCAAUAAUGUCAUUACAAAAUUUAUAAAGGGUUUCACAUGACCCAGUGUCUCACCUGCAAUUACUGCUGUUCGUGUAUAAGUGAAACAUUGACUGACAGAAAAAUGUGGAAAAUACUAGUUAGCUUUUCUCAAGAUGCUAUCUCUUGAUCAUGAAGAAGCUUCUGUUCAAGCUUUUUAAAAUACCAUGAAGGUUUGGAUAAUAUAUCUUAAUGUUAGCUGCUUAAAACAAUCAUGAAUAAAUACAAGAAAAAAAAUCUUUUCACUUUGAUAUUUUCUUGACAAAGUAAAAUCAACUUUAACCUCAGAAUAACCAUAAACAUAACAACAAAAGGCCAAUUAAAAUUAACUGAUACAUUUUUUACUUCAGCCGCCCUUAAUUCUAAAUCAAAUUUUACAAAUUUCUGAUUUUGUUCAUAAGGGUGCUGAUUUUUAAGUUCCAUACAAAACUUUCCGUUCCAUGUUUUCAGUUAAUAACAAGCUACAUUGCAAACUUGCACACUAACGAAUCUUAAAAGCAUCAGCAGCUACAGACUGUUUUUUUAUACCUUUGUCUGCCAUUAUUCUUGCUGAAUGCACUACAAACUGCAGCUUGAAAAGACCAUAUUUUUACUGUUUGAGUACAAAUUUUACUUGACAAGUCUAAACCUUAUCUCAACAGUAUUUAACCCUACUAAUUUGGUCUCUACUUUACUUAAAAAGUCUGAAUUUGGUCUCGAUCAAUGCUCAACCAGUCUUCAUUUUGAUAUCAAUCUGAUGUGGAUGUUAUCACUACAAAUUCACUUGAAGGUCUUAUGGUGUUUCUGAAUAUCUGCUUUAUUAAAAGGACACUAGCUCAGAAAGCGAAAGAAAUUUGAAACUAGUAGUCAAAAAUGGAGCAAUGUCAAACAUUUUUUGCUGCUUACUGAAAAUUGGUUCAUGAAGCAAUUAGAACAGAGGUUGCCAAUCAUAAACAUUAUUUAAGAAUUUUGAAAAAAAUGUAGAAUAUUUACUGUAAAUUCAUAAAUUAUUGCCAUGUUUUUAUUAUUGGGUUAUAAUCCCAAUAAUUUAAACUCACAUUUUGAAAUACUUUACAUGAAUUAAACAGGAUUUUUCUCAAUUUCACCAAAAUUAAAGUAGUAUUUUUAGUCCAAAAUGACAUAAAAGCAAUAAUAAAUGCAAGCUAUAAUUUCCAAAUUUACAGUAUUAAUUUCCUAACAUUGGUUUCCUUUGUCUCACUCAGAGUAAUUGCAGGCAAGACAGUUGCCAAGAAAUACAAAGUUAUUUACAACAAACACUAAAUAUAAAAGUGUAUACAGUGACAUAUGCACUUAACAAACUUUAAAAACAUAUACAUGUAUAUAAAAAGACUGUUCUAAUAAAUGACAAUAUAACAAUGUGAUUUUGAUGAAAAAAAUCCUAUGAUUAGAAAAACUUCAUUACUUUAUGUAGUGUGAUAAACUAGCUGCUUAAAUUCUUGUAUUCUACAUUAAUAGUCAUAAAAAUCAUAUCAAUCAAUAUUCAUUAAUGAUAAAAUAAUACUUAACAAAUGAUGAGGGACACAAGAUGACAAAGGACUAAAGCUUGACUGCUUCUAUGUGUUAGUUGAGCUAAAAAUGACGUUCAACUUGUCCAGAAGCUGUCUUCACUAGUUUUCGAGGAAAAAACAUUCAGCAUGAUCAUUAAUAAUUCAAAUAAAAAAUUUAACCAAUAUAUCUUAACAGUUAUACUAUGACCAAAUAAUACACUUGGUCUACAUUAAACAUGUGAUGAGAAUACUAAUGAAAAUUUCAUCAUGCAAAAUGAUUUAAUUAUUUCAAAAAACACAGAGCAUGUUUACACAACAAAUACUGAACAUGUUCCUAAAACAUUUGCUAAUUUAUAUCAACAAACAUAGCCUGACUUGCUUGGCAUUGAUUUUCUCUGCUAAGUUCUGUAUACGGACCAAUCUGACUUUAUCGGGAUUAUCUGCAUUGAAGAUUCUAUAUACAUGGAAUUUGUCUUUGUUCUCUUGGGCAAAUUUGAUCUGAGGAUAUGAGAUUUCAAAAAUCUCCUUUGUACUAGACAGAGUACUUUUAACUUCAAUGUAAACAGUAAAUUCCUGGUCUUCAGUCACUACACCUACUUCAAAGUCAUAAGGUUGUCCCAGCUCCUCAUCUUCAUUGCACCAAUUAACAAANNNNNNNNNNNNNNNNNNNNNNNNNNNNNNNNNNNNNNNNNNN